CAGCCGCCGCGGUAAUACGUAGGGUGCGAGCGUUAAUCGGAUUUACUGGGCGUAAAGCGUGCGCAGGCGGUCCGUUAAGACAGGUGUGAAAUCCCUGGGCUCAACCUAGGAAUUGCGCUUGUGACUGGCGGGCUCGAGUACGGUAGAGGGGGGUGGAAUUCCUGGGGUAGCAGUGAAAUGCGUAGAGAUCAGGAGGAACACCGAUGGCGAAGGCAGCCCCCUGGGCCUGUACUGACGCUCAUGCACGAAAGCGUGGGGAGCAAACAGGAUUAGAUACCCUGGUAGUCCACGCCCUAAACGAUGGGUACUAGCCGUUUGGUGCGCGAGAGCGCUGAGUGGCGAAGCUAACGCGAGAAGUACCCCGCCUGGGGAGUACGGCCGCAAGGUUGAAACUUAAAGGAAUUGGCGGG
rnacentral:rRNA from 1 species